AGAGUUUGAUUCUGGCUCAGAACGAACGCUGGCGGCAGGCUUAACACAUGCAAGUCGAACGAUAUAGUGGCAGACGGGUGAGUAACGCGUGGGAACGUGCCUUUCACUAAGGAAUAGCUUUUGGAAACGAAAGGUAAUACCUUAUACGCCCUUCGGGGGAAAGAUUUAUCGGUGAAAGAUCGGCCCGCGUUAGAUUAGCUAGUUGGUGAGGUAAUGGCUCACCAAGGCUACGAUCUAUAGCUGGUCUGAGAGGUGGGACUGAGACACGGCCCAGACUCCUACGGGAGGCAGCAGUGGGGAAUAUUGCACAAUGGGCGCAAGCCUGAUGCAGCCAUGCCGCGUGAAUGAUGAAGGCCUUAGGGUUGUAAAAUUCUUUCGCUAGGGAUGAUAAUGACAGUACCUAGUAAAGAAGCACCGGCUAACUUCGUGCCAGCAGCCGCGGUAAUACGAAGGGUGCUAGCGUUGUUCGGAAUUACUGGGCGUAAAGCGUACGUAGGCGGAUUAUUAAGUCAGAUGUGAAAUCCCGAGGCUCAACCUCGGAACUGCAUUUGAAACUGGUAGUCUAGAGAUCAGGAGAGGUUAGUGGAAUACCGAGUGUAGAGGUGAAAUUCGUAGAUAUUCGGUGGAACACCAGUGGCGAAGGCGACUAACUGGACUGAUACUGACGCUGAGGUACGAAAGUGUGGGGAGCAAACAGGAUUAGAUACCCUGGUAGUCCACACCGUAAACGAUGAGAGCUAGUUGUCUGCAGGCAUGCCUGUAGGUGACGCAGCUAACGC
rnacentral:rRNA from 1 species